GAUGAACGCUGGCGGCGUGCUUAACACAUGCAAGUCGAACGGAACUGCUUUUGAAGAUUCUCUUCGGAGAUGACUCAGUUGUAGUUUAGUGGCGGACGGGUGAGUAACGCGUGAGUAACCUGCCCUUGAGAGGGGGAUAACGUUCUGAAAAGAACGCUAAUACCGCAUAAUACUAUUGAACCGCAUGAUUCGAUAGUCAAAACUCCGGUGCUCAAGGAUGGACUCGCGUCCGAUUAGCUAGUUGGUAAGGUAACGGCUUACCAAGGCGACGAUCGGUAGCCGGACUGAGAGGUUGAACGGCCACAUUGGGACUGAGACACGGCCCAGACUCCUACGGGAGGCAGCAGUGGGGGAUAUUGCGCAAUGGGGGAAACCCUGACGCAGCAACGCCGCGUGGAUGAUGACGGUUUUCGGAUUGUAAAGUCCUUUUCUUAGGGACGAAAUUUUGACGGUACCUAAGGAAUAAGCUCCGGCUAACUACGUG
rnacentral:rRNA from 1 species